GUUGCCAACGCUACGGGCGGGAACGUCUCGGCGGACUGCCGGCGACAAGCCGGAGGAAGGUGGGGAGUGACGUCAAGUCAUCAUGGCCCUUAUGUCCAGGGCGACACACGUGCUACAAUGGGCGGCACAACGGGAAGCGAAGGGGAGACCUGGAGCGGAUCCUCAUAAAGCCGUUCCCAGUUCGGAUUGAAGUCUGCAACUCGACUUCAUGAAGCUGGAAUCGCUAGUAAUCGUGGAUCAGCCAAGCCGCGGUGAAUACGUUCCCGGGCCUU
rnacentral:rRNA from 1 species